ACGGUAACAGGUCUUCGGAUGCUGACGAGUGGCGAACGGGUGAGUAAAACAUCGGAACGUGCCUAGUAGUGGGGGAUAACUACUCGAAAGAGUGGCUAAUACCGCAUGAGAUCUACGGAUGAAAGCAGGGGAUCGAAAGACCUUGUGCUACUAGAGCGGCCGAUGGCAGAUUAGGUAGUUGGUGGGAUAAAAGCUUACCAAGCCGACGAUCUGUAGCUGGUCUGAGAGGACGAUCAGCCACACUGGGACUGAGACACGGCCCAGACUCCUACGGGAGGCAGCAGUGGGGAAUUUUGGACAAUGGGCGAAAGCCUGAUCCAGCAAUGCCGCGUGCAGGAUGAAGGCCUUCGGGUUGUAAACUGCUUUUGUACGGAACGAAAAGCCCUGGGUUAAUACCCUGGGGUCAUGACGGUACCGUAAGAAUAAGCACCGGCUAACUACGUGCCAGCAGCCGCGGUAAUACGUAGGGUGCAAGCGUUAAUCGGAAUUACUGGGCGUAAAGCGUGCGCAGGCGGUUUUGUAAGACAGAGGUGAAAUCCCCGGGCUCAACCUGGGAACUGCCUUUGUGACUGCAAGGCUAGAGUACGGCAGAGGGGGAUGGAAUUCCGCGUGUAGCAGUGAAAUGCGUAGAUAUGCGGAGGAACACCGAUGGCGAAGGCAAUCCCCUGGGCCUGUACUGACGCUCAUGCACGAAAGCGUGGGGAGCAAACAGGAUUAGAU
rnacentral:rRNA from 1 species